rnacentral:rRNA from 1 species
UCCAGACUCCUACGGGAGGCAGCAGUGAGGAAUAUUGGUCAAUGGGCGCGAGCCUGAACCAGCCAAGUCGCGUGAGGGAAGACGGUCCUAUGGAUUGUAAACCUCUUUUGUCGGGGAGCAAAAGACGCCACGUGUGGCGUUCCGAGAGUACCCGAAGAAAAAGCAUCGGCUAACUCCGUGCCAGCAGCCGCGGUAAUACGGAGGAUGCGAGCGUUAUCCGGAUUUAUUGGGUUUAAAGGGUGCGCAGGCGGAAGAUCAAGUCAGCGGUAAAAUUUCGGGGCUCAACCCCGUCGUGCCGUUGAAACUGGCAGUCUCGAGUUGGAGAGAAGUAUGCGGAAUGCGCGGUGUAGCGGUGAAAUGCAUAGAUAUCGCGCAGAACUCCGAUUGCGAAGGCAGCAUGCCGGCGCCACACUGACGCUGAGGCACGAAGGCGUGGGUAUCGAACAGGAUUAGAUACCCGUGUAGG